rnacentral:rRNA from 1 species
CCUACGGGAGGCAGCAGUAAGGAAUAUUGGGCAAUGGACGCAAGUCUGACCCAGCCAUGCCGCGUGGAGGAUGAAGGUCCUCUGGAUUGUAAACUUCUUUUAUCUGAGAAGAAAUCCAGGAAUUCUUUCCUGGUUGACGGUACCAGAUGAAUAAGCACCGGCUAACUCCGUGCCAGCAGCCGCGGUAAUACGGAGGGUGCAAGCGUUAUCCGGAUUCACUGGGUUUAAAGGGUGCGUAGGUGGACUGGUAAGUCCGUGGUGAAAUCCCCGAGCUUAACUCGGGAACUGCCGUGGAUACUAUCAGUCUUGAAUAUCGCGUAGGUAAGCGGAAUAUGUCAUGUAGCGGUGAAAUGCUUAGAUAUGACAUAGAACACCAAUUGCGAAGGCAGCUUACUUCACGAUUAUUGACACUGAGGCACGAAAGCGUGGGGAGCAAACAG